GCCCCCUGACCUGGCUCAGCAGCCCCGGGAAACAAAGAGUGAACGGCCCCUCCUUCCCCGGCUAGCGCUGUGACGUCACCCUCUGGCCCUGCCCCCUUUCCUCCGAUUGGCCGAAGUCAUCCGCAGCAGGAGCCAAUCGGCGUGUCCGUUGUUGGCCGGCUCCCGCGCCGGUUUUUGCUCUGUCUUCUGCGGCUGCGCGAGGUCUCACCGAGCCGGGAGCAAGUGAAGGGGUUGUCAGGACACCCAGGUGUGACCUCCUGCUGGUGCCGCCCCUCUGUGAAGAUGAUCCGCAUUGCAGCCUUGAAUGCCAGCUCCACUGUGGAGGAUGACCACGAAGGGACGUUCAAAAGCCACAAAACACAGACCAAGGAGGCGCAGGAAGCAGAAGCUUUCUCCCUGUAUCACAAAGCCUUGGACCUGCAGAAGCAUGACCGCUGUGAGGAGUCGGAGAGAGCGUACCAGGAGCUGCUGGAGAUCCGCCUGCUGCGCGAGGCGGUUUUGUCUGGUGAUGAGAGAGAGGGCUUGAAGCAUCCUGGGUUGAUGCUAAAAUAUUCUACCUACAAGAAUCUGGCGCAGUUGGCAGCCCAGCGGGAUGACCUGGAAACAGCCAUGGAGCUCUACUUGGAGGCCGUGAUGCUGGACUCCACGGAUGUCAACCUUUGGUAUAAGAUUGGCCGCGUGGCCCUGAAGCUGGUGUGCAUCCCGCUGGCUCGCCACGCCUUUGAGGAGGGGCUCCGCUGCAAUCCAGACCACUGGCCCUGCUUGGACAACCUCAUCACCGUCCUGUAUACCCUCGGGGACUACACCACGGGCCUGUAUUUCAUCUGCAAAGCCCUGGAGAAAGAUUGUAGGUACAGCAAAGGGCUGGUGCUCAAGGAGAAGAUCUUCCAGGAGCAGCCAUGCCUCCGCAAGGACUCCCUGCGCAUGUUCCUCAAAUGUGACAUGUCGAUCCAUGUUGUGACUGUGAGCGCCGCGGAGACGAAGGCCAUUAUUGAUGAGGCACUGGACCUGCGCAAGAAGAGGCAGGCGCUGCUGGUGCGCGAGAAGGAGGCGGACCUCCAUCUGACUCAGCCCAUCCCCUUCUUCACGUGGAAGUGUCUCGGGGAGAGCUUGCUGGCCACCUAUGCCCACUUCACGUCCUGUGAGCCCCCUCAGCCCAGCUUGGGCAGGAGAAUCGAACUUUCGGAGUACCGAGACCCUGCUGCGCUCUCCGUACCCGCCCUGCCUUCUGCCGCUGUCAGUGUCCCCCUACCCCCCCCUGCUGUGGCCUCAGCGCCAGAGCCACUGUUCCCCUACACUGCCGUGGCGUCCAGUUUUUCUCUCCCCAGCCAGAGCUUAUUGGAGGCUGUAGCUCCACUAGGGGACGCUUCUGGGGGGGACAAAUCCAAGAAGGGCGUCAAGCGGAAGAGGCCGAUGGCCGAGGAGAGCGGGGAGACGGCCAAGAGACGGUCUGCACGUGUCCGCAACACCAAGUGUAAGAAGGAGGAGAAGGUUGACUUCCAGGAACUGCUGCUGAAGUUCCUGCCGCCCAGGUUAAGAAAACUGGACCCCGAGGAGGAGGAUGACCCCUUUGGUAACUAUGAGGUCCAGUCAGAAAUUAAGCAGGAGAACUUCCCCAGUGUGGGCACGCACAGACUGUCCUUUGACUCUACCACGUUCGUGGAAUCAGAGCAGCAGGACGUGCACAAGUUUCUUCUGGACAACAUGAACAACGGGGGCCUGCUGGAGCUGAUGAUGAGGUAUCUGAAGGUGAUGAGCCUGCAAUUCCUGGUGAAGUGGCCCCCGGGCUUGGGCCAGGUGGUCCUCAGCAUCUACAGCAGCUGGCGAAAGCACAGCAGCGGCCUGCCGAACCCUCUGCUCCGCGACUGCAGUGACCAGCACAUCAAGGACAUGAUGCUCAUGGGUCUGUCGUGCAUGGAGCUCCAGCUGGACCAGUGGCUGCUGGCCAAAGGGAAGAGCUGUGCAGUGUCUCCCCGGCAUUGCCCGGCCGGGGUGGUGAACGGCCACUUUGGACCCGACUUCCCGGGGACUCACUUCCUGGGGGACCUUCUGCAGCUGUCGUUUGCCUCCUCCCAGCGGGACCUCUUUGAGGAAGGCUGGUUGGAGUUCAUCGUUAGGGUAUACUGGCUGAAGGCUCGCUUUCUGGCUCUGCAGGGAGACAUGGAGCAGGCCCUGGAGAACUACGACAUGUGCACGGAGCUCCUGCAGAGUGCGGCCGCCGCUCAGGCCGGCAGCGGCCACGAGUCGAGGAGCCUUCUCGUCCGGCUGCCCAACCUUCACCUGGAUUCUGUGGUUUCCCUCGAGGAGAUCGAUAAGAACCUGAAGUCCCUGGAGCGGUGCCAGUCCUUGGAGGAGCUGCAGCGGCUCUAUGAGGCGGGCGACUACCAGGCCGUGGCCCACCUGCUGCGGCCCACUCUGUGCCUCAGUGGCUACGACCGCACCAAGCACCUGGAGUUUGUCACCUCCAUCCCGGAGCGCCCCGCCCAGCUGCUCCUGCUGCAGGAUGCCCUUCUCAAACUCAGGGAUUACACACGCUGCUUUGAGUGCUCUGAGGUCGCCCUGCAGGAGGCCAUCCAGCAGAUGGUGAACCUGACGGACACCUCUGCCAAGGAAGAAUGGGUGGCCACAGUCACUCAGCUCCUCCUGGGCAUCGAGCAGGCUCUGUCCGCAGACGGCAGCAUCCUGGAUGAGCCCCUGCGCACCCCCAGCCUCAUCCGGCUCACCAACAACCUCAUCCAGGUCAUUGACUGCAGCAUGUCUGUGCAGGAGGAGGCCAAGGAGCCGUACGUGGCCUCAGUGCUCCCGUGGGUCAUCCUGCACCGUGUUGUCCAGCAUGAGGAGGAGGGCUUCCGGGCCUGCCGUCAGGAGCAGCAGCAGCAGCCGCAGCAGCUGCAGAGCCCUGAGGACAGUGAAGGAAGGCCAGACACCCCCCUGCUCCCAUCGUCCCUCAUGUUACUCAACACCGCCCACGAGUACUUGGGAAGGAGGUCCUGGUGCUGCAACUCCAAUGGGGCACUCCUCCGCUUCUAUGUGCGAGUGCUGCAGAAGGAGCUGGCAGCCUCAGCCUCGGAGGACACGCACCCCUACAAGGAGGAGCUCGAGACGGCCCUGGAGCAGUGCUUCUACUGCCUCUACAGCUUUCCCAGCAAGAAGAGCAAAGCCCGCUACCUGGAGGAGCACUCAGUGCAGCAGGUGGAGCUCGUGUGGGAAGACGCCCUCUUCAUGUUCGACUACUUCAAGCCCAAGACGCUGCCCGAGUUCGACAGCUACAAGACGAGCACGGUGUCAGCCGACCUCGCCAACCUGCUGAAGAAGGUGGCCGCCAUCGUCCCGCGGACGGAGAAGCCUGCGCUCAGCCUGGACGACGUGUCGGGCUACAUCGAGGGCACGCUGAGCAAGGUGCCGUCGCUCCCCGAGGGCGCUGACCACUCCCCGCCCGCAGUGAAUGAGCUCUACUACCUCCUGGCCGAUUACCACUUCAAGAACAAGGAGCAGUCCAAGGCCAUCAAGUUCUACAUGCACGACAUCUGCAUCUGCCCCACCAGGUUCGACUCGUGGGCCGGCAUGGCUCUGGCCAGGGCCAGCCGCAUCCAGGACAAGCUGAACUCCAACGAGCUCAAGAGCGACGGUCCCAUCUGGCGGCACUCGGCCCCCGUGCUGAACUGCUUCAGGCGCGCCCUGGAGAUCGACGCCUCCAACCUGUCGCUGUGGAUCGAGUACGGCACCAUGUCCUACGCACUGCACUCUUUCGCCUCUCGCCAGCUCAAGCAGUGGAGGGCGGAGCUGCCGGCCGAGGUGGUCCAGCAGAUGGAGGAACGCCGCGACAGCAUGCUGGAGACGGCCAAGCUGUGUUUCACAUCGGCCGCACGCUGCGAGGGCGACGGCGACGAGGAGGAGUGGCUGCUGCACUACAUGCUGGGCAAGGUGGCUGAGAAGCAGAAGCAGCCGCCGGCCGUGUACCUGCAGCACUACCAGCGCGCCGCUCACUACCUGCACGAGGAGGCCGCCCGCUACCCCAAGAAGAUUCACUACCACAACCCGCCCGAGCUGGCCAUGGAGGCGCUGGAGGUCUACUUUCGCCUGCACGCCUCCAUCCUGAAGCUUGUGGGCGAGCCCAGCACCGGGGUCGAUGCUGAGAGUCUGCUCGCCUUCAUGAAGGAGGCCGCUGAGGGGCCCUUCGCCCGGGGCGAGGAGAAGAACACCCCCAAAGUUUCUGAGAAGGAGAAGGCCUGCAUCGUUGACGAGGACUCCCACUCUUCUGCGGGGACGCUUCCGGGCCCUGGGACCUCCCUCCUCCCCUCCUCCGGCCCAGGUCUGACAUCCCCACCUUACACAGCUACUCCGAUCGACCAUGAUUACAUCAAAUGUAAAACCCCUCGCCAGCAGGCGACGCCCGACGAGAGGAGUCAGGACAGCACCGCAGUGGCCCUCUCUGAUUCCAGCUCGACUCAGGAUGUCUUCAGUGAGCCCCCUAGCUCCCAGGAGAGCUCCCGGAAGCCUUACCUGGAGAAGCGGCCCCUGGGGUCCUGCGCCUCGGCUGUGCCUCCAGGGCUGGUCCUAGAAAGAGGGAAAGGCGAGGAGCCUUUGGAAGGCGUGGAAUCUUUGCGGGCUCCAGGGGAUCCUGGGCUCCUGAGAGCUGUGGUUGAUGUUGUGGCCAAGCCUGCAGCCUCCACCGCCGCGCCAUCCCCGUGGGACAGCAAGAAGAAAGGCGAGCCGCUCGGGGAGCGGGCGGAGCUGUGCCAGCGGCUGCCGGCCGACGCCGAGGGCCAGCGCAAGUUUCUGACGGAGCAGUGUGUGGCCUCCUUCCGCCUCUGCCUGAGCCGCUUCCCUCAGCACUACAAGAGUCUGUACCGCCUGGCCUUCCUCUACGCGCACAGCAAGACCCACAAGAACCUCCAGUGGGCCCGAGAUGUGUUGCUAGGCAGCAGUAUCCCGUGGCAGCAGCUGCCACACAUGCCCGCCCAGGGCCUCUUCUGUGAGAGGAACAAGACGAAUUUCUUCAAUGGAAUCUGGCGCAUCCCCGUGGAUGAGAUUGACCGCCCGGGCAGCUUCGCUUCUCACAUGAACCGCUCCAUUGUCCUGCUGCUACAGGUGCUCUCCCAGCUAAAGGACUACGGCACGUUGCUGAGGGUGUCUUCAAUGCUGCAGAGGACCCCCGACCAGGGGAAGAAAUACUUGCGGGAUGCAGACCGCCAGGUCCUGGCGCAGCGGGCCUUCGUCCUUACCGUGAAGGUGCUGGAGGAGACGCUGAGUGAGCUGACGGAGGGCUUGGAAGGCCAGAGGAUGACGACAGGCGCUUCCAACAAGCCGAGUGCCGAGGACGGUGAUGAGGUCCUUCCUAACAAGCCAGCUCCGUCUGACGCUGGGGGCGGGGGCAAGGGGGCAGUGCCCAGCUACGGCCCCUUGGCUGGGGACGUAGCUGACCCUGGCGCUCUGAAAGAACGUCCCCGGACGAGCUCCACAGAGCCCAUGGAACUGGAACCAGAAAGGGCUGAGGCGGCCCUCCGGCACCCCGAGGCAGAGAGGCCUCCACCUGCCCGCACACCCAAGGACAGAGGGCCAGACGGCCGCCCCGCUGAGCUGUCCCUGGAGGACCUGAGCAUCGGCUCUCGCCAGCCACAGCUGCCGCCACAGCCACUGCCACUGCUGACCAAGGGCUCGGGCCAGUCAGCUCUCGAUGAGGCUGGGCAGAGGCCCAGCCGUAAGAGGAAGUUACUGGAUGACCCCGAGUCUGGAAAGAGUCUCCUCCUAGACGCUUACCGAGUUUGGCAGCACGGCCAGAAGGUCAUGGCCUACGACUUGGGAAAGAUUGAAAAGAUUAUGUCUGAGACCUACAUGCUCAUCAAGCAGGUGGAUGAGGGCGCUGCCCUGGAGCAGGCGGUCAAGUUCUGUCAAGUACACCUGGGGACGUCAGCUCAGCGACAGAUGGAGGGCGAUCUGUCUCUGAGGGUGGCUGAGAAGACAGAUAGGAAGCCUGGGCUGGCCAGAUAACACGGGUGCGAGCCAGACCUGUGUCCUCCAGUCCCAGAACUGUGAGGAUUCACAAAGCAUCUGACAGGCAUGCACAAACUUGCUCAGCCAAGGCUCUCUGAGAUGGCUGUGGUUGCAAGUAUGGUUGUCCCCAUUUUUUAGAAGACAUACUGAGGCUCAUACGCAUGAGAUGACCCGCCCACGAUUGUGCUCCUAGUGAGCAAGUGCAGGAGGCGGAAUUCAGACUCCAGCUGUGGCUGGCCAAGAGCCAGAUGAGGUGCAGGUCCGUGCCCUCGGCUGCAGUGGUGUGUGUGUUGGGGCAGGCUCACAAAUCAUAGAACCCCAAGAUUUCUGUUGGAGGGGCAGGGCCUCAGCACCAUCUGGUCUAACCCAGUUAGAUCAGGAAGGUGGAAGUAAGGAGAGUGACCAUUCCAGGGAUAUAAACAACCUGUCUACAGAUACACACUGUGGGGAAGCCCAGCAGAUUGACCUGGCUGCCAGAAGCAUUGAGUCCCUAGAAGGGCUGUUUGUAGCCAGGCUGCAAAGGACUUAGAAUGCCAAAGGGGUUUGAUCCUGGAGGUCAUAGAGAGUGCCUGGAGCUUAUGAAGUUCAGGAUGAUGUGAUCAGGCCUGUGCUUUAGGAAAAUCACUUUGGUGGCUGAAUGGAAGAUGAACUGGAGGAGGAAGAGACUGAGGCAGGAAGAUUCCCCCUCCUCACCUAGCAGCUACCUCAAUAGUCCAGGUGUGAGGUGAGGAGGGCUUGCCCCAGGGUGGGAGCAAGGUCAGAGGAGAGGAGGCGUAUUCAAGAGAGGCUCCAGAGGUGAAAAGAACCAGAGAUGCUGCAGAAGUGAAAUGGACCGGAGGUGCUGCAGAGGUGAAAUGGACCGGAGGUGCUGCAGAGGUGAAAGGGACCGGAGGUGCUGCAGACGUGAAAGGGACCGGAGGUGCUGCAGAGGUGAAAUGGACCGGAGGUGCUCCAGAGGUGAAAU